AUCGCUUCUCGGCCUUUUGGCUAAGAUCAAGUGUAAAAGAUAGUUUUUAUCAAUAUUUGUUGUAUGAAUCUUC
rnacentral:snRNA from 1 species